AUGAUCGCUGCUGCAUGGGGUGAGGCCCAUGCGGCCAAUCAGCACGACGGGGAUCUCGAGACUGCAUGCAGUCGGGUGCGGACCGCUUCGAUGGCCAUGCAAGAGUGGAUCCGAAGGGUUUUUGGCUCAAUUAAAAAACAGAUUGCACACUUGAAAGGACAACUCCUUGAUGCUAAGGAGCGAGCUGCAAAGUCAGGUUACAGACAAGAAGUGAAGGAGAUUGAGGACCAGCUGCAUGAGUUAUAUGAGAGGGAAGAGGUGUAUUACAAACAAAGAUCGAGGGUUGACUGGCUAGCUGAGGGUGACCAAAACACAUGGUAUUUCCAAAAUAGAGCCUCGCAUUGA
rnacentral:rRNA from 1 species